UUUCCAGUUUUCUAUCAUAAGUUCGAUUUUGAUGUGAGAACGUGAUCGUGGAUGACAUGUUGACUCAGCACUCGCCAACACUUCCUGCUCGUGUCUGUGUGCUAAACGCUAACUUGUGCCUCCGCCCGUCAACUUUCAAGUGUUGGAUUCCCUCGUAGUCACCACAUGGUUCGACGCUGUUACGUUGGAGCUCCGGUUCGAAAUGCCCCUCGAAGAAACACUGACCGCCAAGUUGCUUCCGGGUCAGCAUUGUUGAAGACACUGAUCAUGUUACAAUGUCACCAAAAUGAUCAACAAUGAAGAAAACCAAUAAAUAUCAACCUGCAACACUAAAUGGUCAUUUCAGUAAUCACUUCUACAGCAUACCGAGGAAAUCGCAAUGUCCCAUCACUGUGUUUGCAGAGUCCCGGUGCGAAUCGGAAGGAAGGCUGUCUCGCUUUUGGGGCCGAAGAAGACCUAACUGCGGGCGGCUCAGCGUCACUGAGACGACGUGCCGCGGUGCUCCUCUCGCGUGCUGCCCGGUGCUGACGUCUCCUUGCCGGCGAACGUGUCGAGCAGAGCGCCCUCCUGGCCCGG